CCUACCUGGACCAUCUCUCAUCAUGAAACCAAACGCAGCCUGUUGAACCACGCGCUCUUCUCCUUCUCUUCUCUCCCCAUUACUAUUACUACCGGAACAAAAAAGAUGUCGAGAAGAGGAAGAAUCAAAUCAAGAGACGGGGGGUUGAGAGAGCCCCGUUCGGAUAGUGAAGAGGAAGACGAGAAGCGGAGCGGAGGCGAGAUGGGGGCGGCCGAGUCCGUGCCGGAGACCUCCAUACACGAAUCUCUUUGGAAGAUCAGCGCAGGGUUCUGAAAGGAGGCAGUGAGAAACCCUGUUUUCGAAACAGGUUUUCGCUGUGCCCUCCCAAAUUUCUUGGCCAACAAAAAUUAGCCUCCACCCGACGUUCUUCCUGACCGACAGCCAGCCAGCCAGCCAGCCAACACGGGGCACGCGGUUCAGUGAAAUUAAUCGAACCUCGCAUGGAGUUUGAAAUGACGCUAGAAUGAUAACGACGAUCGGUCGUUACUCUACGCAUGCAUCAAGUACUGUGCCCGCUUGCGCUUGGAGCAAAUUUGCUUGGUCGUGAGUUCAGCGUGUGGCCUAUCAAGCGAGACUAUCCAUCCAUCCCUGUGUAGUGUGUGUGUGUGUGUGUGCGCAUUCGGGGUCUGCGCGUGCUAUUCCAUUGAACUGAUCUCUGUUCUCUCGAUAGAUCUAACAGAAACUGUUUCUACUUGCAAACUUUUACCAGAUUUGAAGCUGUGUGUACCCCGUUUUUCAGAAGGUGAGAACUGUUCGUCUAAAAUUACGUCUGCCAAGCCUGGCCUGUUCGGAUCAUCAAAUGGAACUUUACCAAGUUUCUGGUGGACAAGAACGGGAAGGUCGUUGGGAGAUACGGAACGUCGACAGCUCCAAUGUCGAUUGAGAAGGACAUCCAGAAGGCCCUUGACGAAUAAAGACCUCAUGUCCUCAUCUCAUCCGUGGUCACCCACUUGCAGAAAUAGGCACUCGCGGAAGUAUUCCGUCGUAGGAGCAUUUAGACGUCUAUGCUUGUCUGUAGUAAAUCUGUGUACUGUUAGGCGGUCUCCAACGGCUCCUCCAUUUCAUUCUAUCUCAAAAUUUUACUUUGUAAAUAGUAUCAUCUAUAGUUUCACGUCAA